rnacentral:rRNA from 1 species
AUUGAACGCUGGCGGCAGGCUUAACACAUGCAAGUCGAGCGGAGAUGAGGUGCUUGCACCUUAUCUUAGCGGCGGACGGGUGAGUAAUGCUUAGGAAUCUGCCUAUUAGUGGGGGACGACAUUCCGAAAGGAAUGCUAAUACCGCAUACGUCCUACGGGAGAAAGCAGGGGAUCCUCGGACCUUGCGCUAAGAGAUGAGCCUAAGUCGGAUUAGGUAGUUGGUGGGGUAAAGGCCUACCAAGGCGACGAUCUGUAGCGGGUCUGAGAGGAGGAUCGGCCACACUGUGACUGAGACACAGGCCCGAGUCCUCCGGGGGGCAGCGGUGGGGAAUAUUGGGCAAUGGGGGGAACCCUGGUCCAGCCAUGCGGCGUGUGUGAAGAAGGCCUUAUGGUUGUAAAGCACUUUAAGCGAGGAGGAGGCUACUGAGACUAAUACUCUUGGAUAGUGGACGUUACUCGCAGAAUAAGCACCGGCUAACUCUGUGCCAGCAGCCGCAGUAA